rnacentral:rRNA from 1 species
GUCUACAGUCAUACCACCCUGAAUGUACCCUAUCUCUUUUGAUCUUGGAAGCUAAGGAGGGUCAAGCUUGGUUAGUACUUGGAUGGGAGAAUAUAUUGUUUCAUUAUUCA